rnacentral:rRNA from 1 species
GUAGGGUGCAAGCGUUAUCCGGAUUUAUUGGGCGUAAAGAGUUCGUAGGCGGACCGAUGCGUCCGGUCUCAAAUCUCCCGGCUUAACUGGGAAAAGGGAUCGGAUACGAUCGGACUAGAGAUGGUUAGGGGGAGCUGGAAUACACGGUGUAGGGGUGAAAUCCGUUGAUACCGUGUGGAACACCAAGCGCGAAGGCAGGCUCCUGGGGCCAUUCUGACGCUAAGGAACGAAAGCGUGGGUAGCAAAAGGGAUUAGAGACCCCUGUAGUCCACGCCGUAAACGAUGCCUGCUAGAUGGUCCCACUUUACGUGGGACUGUCGUAAGCUAACGCGUUAAGCAGGCCGCCUGGGAAGUACGGCCGCAAGGCUA